rnacentral:rRNA from 1 species
GAUGAACGCUGGCGGCGUGCCUAAUACAUGCAAGUCGAGCGAACGGACGAGAAGCUUGCUUCUCUGAUGUUAGCGGCGGACGGGUGAGUAACACGUGGAUAACCUACCUAUAAGACUGGGAUAACUUCGGGAAACCGGAGCUAAUACCGGAUAAUAUUUUGAACCGCAUGGUUCAAAAGUGAAAGACGGUCUUGCUGUCACUUAUAGAUGGAUCCGCGCUGCAUUAGCUAGUUGGUAAGGUAACGGCUUACCAAGGCAACGAUGCAUAGCCGACCUGAGAGGGUGAUCGGCCACACUGGAACUGGGACACGGUCCAGACUCCUACGGGAGGCAGCAGUAGGGAAUCUUCCGCAAUGGGCGAAAGCCUGACGGAGCAACGCCGCGUGAGUGAUGAAGGUCUUCGGAUCGUAAAACCCUGUUAUUAGGGAAGAACAUAUGUGUAAGUAACUGUGCACAUCUUGACGGUACCUAAUCAGAAAGCCACGGCUAACUACGUG